rnacentral:lncRNA from 1 species
AUGGGCUCUGGCCCUUGCUUGCAUUACAGAUGGGAAGACCAGACCCCAAGAGAGACAGUGACGUGUCCAGAGCCACACAGCCGGCAAGAGGCAGACACGGCCUGUAUCCUGGCUCCACUGGUCAUGCAGGAAAGCCGGUACCCCCAGAGCAAAGGGACCUAUCCCCAAAGGUCUAGACGCUCCAGAAGUAGGUGCAGCAUCUCUGUGGUCAGAUGCAGGUGGAGGAAUUGGAAGUCACCGGAGAAUCCUCGAGGCCUGUUGCUACCUUCAGGACUUCAGAGGAAAGGAUCUGGUGAGGACCAGGCUCAUAUGCCAGGACACCAGCUGCCAUGGUGCCUAUUUGGACAGCAGAGUUGUCCUUGUUCUGGAGAAAGGGCAGAGAUGUGGACACUGCCCAGAGCAUCCUGUUUAAAAAGCUGCAGAAAUGGGCCUUGACCCUGAAGGCUACAGUACCUACUUGACCACAGGAGUCCCUGCUGCCUCUGAACCUCUCCUGUCUCAGCCUCCUGUGCCCGUUCACCUCCACCAUUGGCCCACACCUGUCCCAGGCUGUUAAGGUGAAGGCACACUUUGAAUAAAAGUAUCACUUCUUGCAGAGCUGCAGAAUCCUCCUUCACUUCCACGUGCCUUCCUGUCUCAUCCGCCAAGAAGUAUGCAGUUAUGCAGUCUGCAUUUUGGCUCCAAGGGCUUCA